UUUCCGUAGGUGAACCUGCGGAAGGAUCAUUGUCGAAACCUGCCCAGCAGAACGACCCGCGAACUUGUAUAAACAACCGGGGGCGGGGGGCGUUCUCGCCCCGUGCCCCCGAACGGCGGGGAGACACUCGUGCCUUCUUGCCGAACAACGAACCCCGGCGCGGUCUGCGCCAAGGAACUUCAACUAAAGAGUGCCUCCGGUCGCCUCGGAAACGGCGUGCGUGCCGGGGGCGAAUCUUGUGCAAAACCAUAACGACUCUCGGCAACGGAUAUCUCGGCUCUCGCAUCGAUGAAGAACGCAGU
rnacentral:misc_RNA from 1 species